UAGGGAAUCUUCCGCAAUGGGCGAAAGCCUGACGGAGCAACGCCGCGUGAGUGAUGAAGGUCUUCGUAUCGUAAAACUCUGUUAUUAGGGAAGAACAAAUGUGUAAGUAACUAUGCACGUCUUGACGGUACCUAAUCAGAAAGCCACGGCUAACUACGUGCCAGCAGCCGCGGUAAUACGUAGGUGGCAAGCGUUAUCCGGCAUUAUUGGGCGUAAAGCGCGCGUAGGCGGUUUUUUAAGUUGGAUGUGAAAGCCCACGGAUCAACCGUGGAGGGUCAUUGGAAACUGGAAAACUUGAGUGCAGAAGAGGAAAGUGGAAUUCCAUGUGUAGCGGUGAAAUGCGCAGAGAUAUGGAGGAACACCAGUGGCGAAGGCGACUUUCUGGUCUGUAACUGACGCUGAUGUGCGAAAGCGUGGGGAUCAAACAGG
rnacentral:rRNA from 1 species